AUAAAGACCAUUCUCAGCAAUCAGACUGUCGACAUUCCAGAAAAUGUUGACAUCAAUCUGAAGGGGCACACAGUUAUUGUGAAGCUACCGAGGGGAACUCUGUGGAGGGACUUCAAUCACAGCAAUGUAGAGCUGAGACUUCUUGGAAAUCGAAAGGUUAAGGAUUUGGCCACUGUCAGAACCAUCUGCGGUCAGGUUCAGAACAUGUUCAAGGGUGUUACACUGGGCUUCCAUUACAAGAUGCGGUCUGUGUAUGCUCCCUUCCCCAUCAAUAUUGUUAUUCAGGAGAAUGUGUCUUUGGUUGAAAUCUGAAAUUUCUUGGGUGAGAAAUAAAUUCACAGGGUUCAGAUGAGGACAGGUGUUGCUUGUUCUGUCUCUCAAGCCCAGAAGGAUGAAUUAAUCCUUGAAGGAAAUGAUAUUGAACUUGUUUCAAAUUCAGUGGCUCUUAUUCAGCAACUUACAACAGUUAAAAACGAGGAUAUCAGAAAGUUUUUGAAUGGCAUCUAUGUGUCUUAGAAGGGAACCUUGCACCAGGCUGAUGAG
rnacentral:lncRNA from 1 species